AUACAUGCCAAAUUAAAUUUUAUCUGUUGUAUUUCACUCUCUCCUUAGUCAUUAUUUAUCUAGAUUAUACAUUGGCCAAGGUUAAAUAUUUGUGUAUUUAUUUGUAGCUUUUUGCUACACUGUUGUAAGUAUGUUCAUGCUGUACUUGCAGUAAGAAAGCCAGUGGGAUAUUACACAUUUUCAGUGAUGUACUGAGAUAGUUUGGAACUAACUUCCUUUUUUUUAUCCAUGCAGCACAAAAUGUAUGUGCAUUUGUGUAAAAGAUAGCUAUUGCACCAUCAGAAAAAUUGUUUAAAUUACUGGUAUGAACUACAGUAACAUGGUAACUAGAAGGUAGUUUGCAUUACCAACAUAUUCUGGAUAAGUUCAGUACUUAGACUUUAUUGCAGUUUUAGGUCUUCAUAAUUCUUGAACUUUUUCUGUACAUGCUUUAGCAUUCACAUUGCAGCCUCAGAGUUAAAUGUAGGAGAGCAUGAAUUUCUGUAACAAGCUGACUGCUGGCUACCUCCGAUAGUUGAUGAGAAUUCUUUGGACCAGAAAAGAGCUUUUUAGUCAGUAGAGGGCUCCCCAUCCUGUAAUAAUAAAUGAUGUUGCUUGAAAAUACAGGUACAAAACAUACUGGAGUUAGGAAAUCUGGGUGAAAUUUCAUGAGCUGAUUCUUUUCUUCAAAUUCAUCCUUUGUGCUUUAAUUUACAGUAAAGUAAGAGAGCCUGUAUUACUUCAUAGGGUGUUAUGAGAAUAAAAACUUACUGUUUCUGAUCAUAUGGGCUCUACAGAAUUCUGAAAUAAUAAGAAGCUGCUGGAUACAAAGUCUGAAUUACUGGGAAGAUGGUCGAUUUUGACGUCUCUUUCACAUGCUCAGGAACAUUUUACAUUUAUGCAGAUAUUUAUUGGUGAAGUUAACUGUGUAGCUGUUAAUUCUGGAUGGAAAAGAUCCACAUCUGGAUUUAGUUGUAAGCUUUCUGACAUUAUUUUAGUGUAUGUAUAUGCAUACACAUUUGCUGUAAUGGAUGUGAAAUUCUUUUAACUUUGGAAAAUGUGGGUUCCAUUCCAGGUACUGACAUGCACUUAGAAGAGCAGGGACUGGUUUUAAGACUGUCUUGUGAUUCCAUGUUCAGGCCUUAAUUUUGAAUAAUGUAACUUCUGUCAUUAGAGGAUGCAAAAGAAUGGACAGUUACCAUUAUAGUCUCUUUCUAGUCUCUGCUCUGUAUAUCUUGAUGUGUUUUUUCUAAAUUUAAACUUCUGUUUUUAUAAGUGGUAACAUAUUGACUAGAGAUACUGUCAUGUUUGUAAUUUACAUUGUAAGUAACAAUAGCUUCAAAUUAAAUAUCUUUGAAAUCAUUAAAUAUAUGUGCAUAUGAGAUUACAGUUUUCUAUUCAAAUGUUGCAUAUUUUUAUUUAUAAUACUACCUUUACACAAAUUAAGCUUCAGUGUAUAUUUUGUCAUUUCAGAACUGCUGAAGUGAGUGUAUAAGUGAAUAUAUGCAUAAAUAUUUUGACUUGUGAAGAAGAGA